rnacentral:rRNA from 1 species
UGGGGAAUAUUGCACAAUGGGCGCAAGCCUGAUGCAGCCAUGCCGCGUGUAUGAAGAAGGCCUUCGGGUUGUAAAGUACUUUCAGCGGGGAGGAAGGGAGUAAAGUUAAUACCUUUGCUCAUUGACGUUACCCGCAGAAGAAGCACCGGCUAACUCCGUGCCAGCAGCCGCGGUAAUACGGAGGGUGCAAGCGUUAAUCGGAAUUACUGGGCGUAAAGCGCACGCAGGCGGUUUGUUAAGUCAGAUGUGAAAUCCCCGGGCUCAACCUGGGAACUGCAUCUGAUACUUGCAAGCUUGAGUCUCGUAGAGGGGGGUAGAAUUCCAGGUGUAGCGGUGAAAUGCGUAGAGAUCUGGAGGAAUACCGGUGGCGAAGGCGGCCCCCUGGACGAAGACUGACGCUCAGGUGCGAGAGCGUGGGGAGCAAACAGG